rnacentral:rRNA from 1 species
CAGUCGCCACGGGAAUACGAAGGGUGCAAGCGUUACUCGGAAUUACUGGGCGUAAAGCGUGCGUAGGUGGUGGUUUAAGUCCGUUGUGAAAGCCCUGGGCUCAACCUGGGAAUUGCAGUGGAUACUGGGUCACUAGAGUGUGGUAGAGGAUAGUGGAAUUUCCGGUGUAGCAGUGAAAUGCGUAGAGAUCGGAAGGAACAUCUGUGGCGAAGGCGACUAUCUGGGCCAACACUGACACUGAGGCACGAAAGCGUGGGGAGCAAACAGGAUUAGAGACCCGCGUAGUCCCUGUCUCUUAUAA